ensembl:misc_RNA Y_RNA Y RNA
GGGUGGCCUGAAUGCAGUGGUGUUUGCAACUAAUUAAUCACAACCAGUUACAGAUUUCUUUGCUCCUUCUCCAUUCCCACUACUUCACUUGACUAGCCUUAA